AAAGCCUAUUAUUACCUCAAUUUUACCAGUGAGGACCUGAGCUCUGUGGCUGUGAAGAAUAUAGCUCGUGCACAGGAAAUAUUUGGCUAAGACACGGCUACUUAUGAUGUCUACAUAAAUAACAGGAUCAGGACUUUGACCCAGCAGCCCUGGAAGCUCACAAAGACACUGUGCUGUGAUCCUGGAAAGAAAGAGAAGAGAGAGAAGGCCAAGAGCUGGGCCAACUAUGGGAAUGAAGAGGAAACUGGAAAAAGAACCUGUAACGCCUGAGAUCGCCUGACCACCAACCCAGCAGGAUGGCUGCUGGGGUCUUAUUAAAUUAGCAAAAAAGAAACUAAAAGUGAUUUGUCAACAUGUGUUAUCUAGAGAUGAUUCUAAGCAACUCAGCCUGGCGGUAAUGUAUUCCAUCCAAUUGAGGAGUUUGCAGGAAAAUAAAUCUACA
rnacentral:lncRNA from 1 species